GAUGAACGCUGGCGGCGUGCCUAAUACAUGCAAGUCGAGCGAAUGGAUUAAGAGCUUGCUCUUAUGAAGUUAGCGGCGGACGGGUGAGUAACACGUGGGUAACCUGCCCAUAAGACUGGGAUAACUCCGGGAAACCGGGGCUAAUACCGGAUAACAUUUUGAACCGCAUGGUUCGAAAUUGAAAGGCGGCUUCGGCUGUCACUUAUGGAUGGACCCGCGUCGCAUUAGCUAGUUGGUGAGGUAACGGCUCACCAAGGCAACGAUGCGUAGCCGAACUGAGCGGGUGAUCGGCCACACUGGGACUGAGACACGGCCCAGACUCCUACGGGAGGCAGCAGUAGGGAAUCUUCCGCAAUGGACGAAAGUCUGACGUAGCAACGCCGCGUGAGUGAUGAAGGCUUUCGGGUCGUAAAACUCUGUUGUUAGGGAAGAACAAGUGCUAGUUGAAUAAGCUGGCACCUUGACGGUACCUAACCAGAAAGCCACGGCUAACUACGUGCCAGCCGCCGCAGUAA
rnacentral:rRNA from 1 species